rnacentral:misc_RNA from 1 species
AUUUCAUCAACUUUGCAAAUUUUUAAAAAAAAAAUUGCAUAAUGCCAAGCCGUUAAGGUUAUGUUACAACCAUUAUAGGCCUGUUUCCGUUACACGUGACCGUGACCACAAACGCGAUCGCGACCUCGAUUUAAAACAAUGAUUCUUACCUUUUUCUUCGCAUUCAAUACCUGGGGGUAUUUAGAGCAGUCCUUCUGAUGAAAUUUGGAUUAUAAAUAGAGACAUUGGAACCUUUUGUCAGUUUAAACAGGAUAAAGUUUGCUCAUAGAAAGGGGCUUAAACUUCGUCAAAAUUAGGCAUUUCUAGCAAUAUUAUGGAAUAUUUGGAUUGAAAGUAAAAUUCACAUUUUAAAAAAAAAAAUCAGUUUGUCGUUUAAUGUGCAGUGGGUUAAGGUGGUUCUUUGGGAUUCAGCUUCCUAAUCAUUCUAAAGGGUGUCCUUGAGGGUUUAUUCAGCCAGAUUUGAGGGCAAUACCUUUUUUUUUUUUGUUGUUCCAUUCUUGUCUUUUUUUUUUCAUUUAUGAGGAGAUUUUAUCCUACAUGUUCUAUUCUCUUUUUUUUUCCCUUCAAAAAUGUUUUAUUUUCCUCCUCAAGCUCAAUUUUCAGAUAACAAUAAAGUUGCUCAAACUAAUCAAUGAAUUCAACUAGAAUCACAUUAAGGAGAAACUAUUCCAAAGAAAGUUAGUUUUCACCGAAAACUUUUUGAGAUGUGCUUGAUAAUCAAUGUCCAACUUUGGCAAGUAUUAAUUUGACACAAGGAGAGAUUUUGAGUUGCCUUCAUUUGCUGGUCGUGAGGCUAGAGUGGUCGUUGACUUGCUUAGAAGCCCCCUUCAAGUGGUAACCCUAGGUCGAUUACUUUUAGGACCCAAAGUUUCAAGGAUAACAAAGAGGUUAGACACUUGAAAAAUGCUUUAUUUUCUUUAGGGUCUACUUGGAUGAGAGUUAGGGAGGGGUAAAUAAAGGUAAGAAGGGAUAAGUAAUUAUUUUACCUCUAUUUGGAAAGAGGUGAGUUAAUGGAGGUAAAGGCAAGUAAGGAUAAGCCUUACUCUCCCUUACUCCUCAA